UACAGAGGUCCCAAGCGUUGUUCGGAAUCAUUGGGCGUAAAGGGCGCGUAGGUGGUUCUGUAUGUCUGCCGUGAAAGGGUACAGCUCAACUGUAGCUUGUCGGCAGAAACUGCAGGACUUGAGGCUGGGAGGGGCUGGUGGAAUUCCCUGUGUAGCGGUGAAAUGCGUAGAGAUGGGGGAGAACACUCGUGGCGAAGGCGGCCAGCUAGACCAGUUCUGACACUGAGGCGCGACAGCGUGGGGAGCAAACAGG
rnacentral:rRNA from 1 species